rnacentral:rRNA from 1 species
CCUACGGGAGGCAGCAGUGGGGAAUAUUGGACAAUGGGGGCAACCCUGAUCCAGCCAUGCCGCGUGUGUGAAGAAGGCCCUCGGGUUGUAAAGCACUUUCAGUGAGGAAGAACGCCUGGUGGUUAAUACCCAUCAGGAAAGACAUCACUCACAGAAGAAGCACCGGCUAACUCCGUGCCAGCAGCCGCGGUAAUACGGAGGGUGCGAGCGUUAAUCGGAAUUACUGGGCGUAAAGCGCGCGUAGGUGGCUUGAUAAGCCGGGUGUGAAAGCCCCGGGCUCAACCUGGGAACGGCAUCCGGAACUGUCAAGCUAGAGUGCAGGAGAGGAUGGUAGAAUUCCCGGUGUAGCGGUGAAAUGCGUAGAGAUCGGGAGGAAUACCAGUGGCGAAGGCGGCCUUCUGGACUGACACUGACACUGAGGUGCGAAAGCGUGGGUAGCAAACAGGAUUAGAUACCCUUGUAGUC